rnacentral:rRNA from 1 species
UACGUAGGUGGCAAGCGUUGUCCGGAAUUAUUGGGCGUAAAGCGCGCGCAGGCGGUCCUUUAAGUCUGAUGUGAAAGCCCACGGCUCAACCGUGGAGGGUCAUUGGAAACUGGGGGACUUGAGUGCAGAAGAGGAAAGCGGAAUUCCACGUGUAGCGGUGAAAUGCGUAGAGAUGUGGAGGAACACCAGUGGCGAAGGCGGCUUUCUGGUCUGUAACUGACGCUGAGGCGCGAAAAGCGUGGGGGAGCAAACAGG